rnacentral:rRNA from 1 species
AGAACGAACGCUGGCGGCAUGCCUAACACAUGCAAGUCGAACGAGACCUUCGGGUCUAGUGGCGCACGGGUGCGUAACGCGUGGGAAUCUGCCCUUAGGUUCGGAGUAACAGUUAGAAAUGACUGCUAAUACCGGAUAAUGUCUUCGGACCAAAGAUUUAUUGCCUAAGGAUGAGCCCGCGUAAGAUUAGCUUGUUGGUGAGGUAAAGGCUCACCAAGGCGACGAUCUUUAGCUGGUCUGAGAGGAUGAUCAGCCACACUGGGACUGAGACACGGCCCAGACUCCUACGGGAGGCAGCAGUGGGGAAUAUUGGACAAGU